GGGCUGUACUGCCCUGGCUGGGGCGGGGCGGGGCUCAUGCACCCCCCACCCCCUUUCUGUGCAGCGGCGGGGCGCUCGCACAGAGCGGACCAGGCUUGGGCUGCAUGGACAUAACACCCGGCUAGAGGCGGCGCCUGGUCGCCCCCUGCUUUGCCUUUUGCAGGGGAAGACGGGCCGCCUCGCUGCCAAGGCUCGUCGGGCACCGUGCCAGCCUGUUGCCAAUAAUCCAUAUCUAUCCUUCAGGCAGGCGCUGAUUCUGUGCCCCCCCCCCGGGGAGAGAGAGCAUUGGAGCUGCAUCAAUUUUGCUGGGUUCUAGGAAGAUAUAAUGAUAUGCGAAUUCCCCUGCAUCAAAGCCGAAACAAAAGAAAAUGUCACCCAGGAACACUAUGCAGCCCCAGACAGGCCACCAGAAGCCUGGCUACAUGAUAGACAACGCCUAAGCCUUCAACUGAAUUCACUGUGAAGUCACAAGACCAGAAUGGAAGUGUAUUUUCCAUAUGAUGACAUGCAGGUAUGCCUCAGACAGCUGCUGUCUAAAGAUGAGGGUGUGACAAUUAUGUAUAUGAUUUGGAGCAAGAAGUAGAAGCUGAAAAUAAACAUCACAAAGAAAUAA